GAACCCGAGAGGCGGAGCUUGCAGUGAGCCGAGAUCACGCCACUGCACUGCAGCCUGGGUGACAGAGCGAGACUCCGUCUCAAAAAAAGAAAAAAAAAAGAAAAGAAAAGAAAAGAUAAAAUUACCAGAAAAUAUUAAACAGGCAGCACUGAGGAGUAAAGGAAUAUUUGGGAGGAUCAGAAGCUUGGUCCUGAUUUUGCCAUCAACCAGGACCUUGAUGACUUCAAGGGAGUCCCCAAACCCUGGGUUUCUGUUUUCUCAACUCUAACAUGAGGGGCUAGACGCAUCUGGUUUAGUUCGUCUCCAUGAUCCUGUGAAUUUCAGAUGUUGAAAAUCUUCAGAAAAGCCCUGAAAGAUGAAGAGUCUUCACCAAACUCCUCCCUCCAGAAUAUUCCUCCAGAAUAUAAAAUGCCUCACCAACAUGAGACAACAGCAGGAAGCACCCAUUUGUAGUAAUCCUCUGUAUGGAGGAGGCUGUUACAUAACCACAAAGGCACAAAGCUGCAGUUUUGAGAACAUCUUCCCACGCCAGUUCUAAGCAUUGACCUCAACUAUGGUUGCUAACACAAGAAUCCGCACUGGUGACUUUUGAGCCAUCAAUCAUCCUUUCCUAACACAUGAUUCUUUUGGAAAAUGGUCUCAAAUAGUCAAGACCCCCUGCUGGGGGGAGCGUCUAUCCUGCUCUGUGGAAGAAAUGGGCAUGCCAGAUGCC
rnacentral:antisense_RNA from 1 species